AUUGAACGCUGGCGGCAGGCCUAACACAUGCACGUCGAGCGGAGCGGCGGACGGGUGAGUAAUGACUAGGAAUCUGCCCGGUAGUGGGGGAUAACGUCCGGAAACGGGCGCUAAUACCGCAUACUCUCAGAUGGGACUAGGUCGGAUUAGGUAGUUGGUGGGGUAAAGGCCUACCCAGGCGACGAUCCGUAACUGGCCUGAGAGGAUGAUCAGUCACAUUGGAACUUAGACACGGUCCAGAUUCUGACUGGAGGCAGCAGUGGGGAAUAUUGGACAAUGGGCGAAAGCCUGAUCCAGUCAUGCCGCGUGUUUGAAGAAGGUCUUCGGAUUGUAAAGCACUUUAAGUUGGGAGGCGUUACCAACAGAAUAAGCACCGGCUAACUUCGUGCCAGCAGCCGCGGUAAUAC
rnacentral:rRNA from 1 species